UAAUACAUAAGUAACCUGCCCUAGACAGGGGGAUAACUAUUGGAAACGAUAGCUAAGACCGCAUAGGUACGGACACUGCAUGGUGACCGUAUUAAAAGUGCCUCAAAGCACUGGUAGAGGAUGGACUUAUGGCGCAUUAGCUGGUUGGUGAGGUAACGGCUCACCAAGGCGACGAUGCGUAGCCGACCUGAGAGGGUGACCGGCCACACUGGGACUGAGACACGGCCCAGACUCCUACGGGAGGCAGCAUG
rnacentral:rRNA from 1 species